CUAUAUAUUAUAUAAGCACCCCAAUGUUAAAAACAAAAUUUCUCUGAAUAUAAUCUGUCAGAAAAAAUAUACAAUGCUUUAUUCUACUCUGUUUUGUAGUAUAUACACCAACUCCAUAUGCUCUCUCAUGUAAAAUAGAAAAAUUCUAUAUUUAAGCGAAUCGAAAUAAAUAUAAAUAUUAUCUAGGCACCCCAAUGUUAAAAACAAAAUUGCUUUGAAUACAAUCUGUCAGAAAAAAUAUACAACGCCCUAUUCUAAUCUGUUUUGGAGUAUAUACAGCAACUCCACAUGCUCUCCCAUGUAAAAUACAGAAAUUCUAAUUUUACGCGAAUCGAAAAAAAUCUAAAUAAUAUCUAGGUGCCCCAAAGUUAAAAGAAAAUGGCUCUAAAUAUUGUCUGUUAGAAAAAAUAUACAAUGCCUUAUUCUACUCUGUUUUGGAGUAUAUGCACCAACUCAGUAUGCUCUCUCAUGUAAAAUACAGAAAGUCUAAUUUUACGCGAAUUGAAAAAAAAAUAAAUAACAUCUAGGUGCCCCAAAGUUAAAAGAAAAUUGCUCUGAAUAUACUCUGUUAGAAAAAAUAUACAAUGCUCUUUUCUACUCUGUUUUGGAGUACAUACACCAACUCAGUAUGCUCUCUCAUGUAAAAUACCGAAAUUCAAAUUUUACGUGAAUCGAAUAAAAUCUAAGAAAUAUCUAGGAGACCCAAAGUUAAAAAAAAAUGGCUCUGAAUAUAGUCUGUUAUAAAAAAUAUACAAUGCCUUAUUCUACUCUGUUUUGGAGUAUAUACACCAACUCAGUAUGCUCUCUCAUGUAAAAACCAAAAUUCUAAUUUUACCCGAAUCGAAAAAAAUCUAAAUAUUAUCUAGGCACCCAAAUAUUAAAAACAAAAUUUCUCUGAAUAUAAUCUUUCAGAGAAAAUACACAAUGCCCUAUUCUAUUCUGUUUUGGAGUAUAUACACCAACUCCAUAUGCUCUCUCAUGUAAAAUACAGAAAUUCUAUAUUUAAGCGAAUCAAAAAAUCUAAAUAUUAUCUAGGCACCCCAAUGUUAAAAGCAAAAUUGCUCUGAAUUUAAUCUGUCAGAAAGAAUAUACAAUGCUCUUUUCUACUCUUUUUGGAGUAUAUAAACCAACUCAAUACGGUCUCUCAUGUAACAUACCGAAAUUCUAAUUUUACGUGAAUCGAAAAAAAUCUAAAUAAUAUCUAGGCGCCUCCUAAUUAAAAUAAAAUGGCUCUGAAUAUAGUCAGUUAGAAAAAAUAUACAAUGCCUUAUUCUACUCUGUUCUGGAGUAUAUACACCAACUCAGUAUGAUCUCUCAUGUAAAAUAUCGAAAUUCUAAUUUUACGUGAAUCCAAAAAAUUCUAAAUAUUAUCUAGGCACUCGAAAGUUAAAAGCAAAAUUGCUCUGAAAAUAGUCUGUCAGAAAAAUAUACAAUGCCCAUUCCUACUCUGUUUUGGAGUAUAUACACCAACUCAGUAUCCUCUCUCAUGUAAAAUACAGAAAUUCUAAUUUUAUCCGAAUCGAAAAAAAUCUAAAUAUUAUCUACGCACCCCAAUGUUAAAAAAAAAUUGCUCUGAAUAUAAUCUGUCAGAAAAAAUAUACAAUGGCCUAUUCUACUCUGUUUUGUAGUAUAUACACCAACUCAACAUGCUCUCUCAUGUAAAAUACAGAAAUUGUAAUUUUACCCAAAUCGAAAAAAUCUAAAUAUUAUCUAGGCUCACCAAUGUUAAAAACAAAAUUGCUCUGAAUAUAAUCUGUCAGAAAAAAUAUACAAUGCCCUACUCUACUCUUUUUUGGGGUAUAUACACCA
rnacentral:lncRNA from 1 species